AACUGUAAAGAAAUAAGAAGUGAUGGAAUGGACAAGACAGAGUCUGUCUGGGCAAAAAUCACACUGGGAAAGAAAGCUACUAGAGCCUCCCCUGAGAUAGUGCUUGGGGUGUGCUACAGACCGCCGGGAUCUGAUUUGGAUAUGGAUAGAGACCUCUUUAAUGUUUUUAAUGAAGUAAACACUAAUGGGAAAUGUGUGAUCAUGGGAGACUUUAACUUCCCAGAUAUAGACUGGAGUACAAGUGCUAGCAAGAAUAGUAGGGCUCAGAUUUUUCUGGAUGUGAUAGCUGAUGGAUUCCUUCACCAAGUAGUUGAAGAACCGACAAGAGGGGAUGCCAUUUUAGAUUUGGUUUUGGUGAGCAGUGAGGACCUCAUAGAAGAAAUGGUUGUAGGGGACAACCUUGGUUCGAGUGAUCAUGAGCUAAUUCAGUUCAAACUAGAUGGAAGGAUAAACAAAAAUAGAUCUGGGACUAGGGUUUUUGAUUUCAAAAGGGCUAACUUUAAAGAAUUAAGGAAAUUAGUUAGGGAAGUGGAUUGGACUGAAGAACUUGUGGAUCUAAAUGCGGAGGAGGCCUGGAAUUACUUUAAGUCGCAGCUGCAGAAACUAUCAGAAGCCUGCAUCCCAAGAAAGGGGAAAAAAAACAUAGGCAGGAGUUGUAGACCAAGCUGGAUGAGCAAGCAUCUCAGAGAGGUGAUUAAGAAAAAGCAGAAAGCCUACAAGGAGUGGAAGAAGGGUGGGAUUAGCAAGGAAAGCUACCUUAGUGAGGUCAGAACAUGUAGGGAUAAAGUGAGAAAGGCUAAAAGCCAAGUAGAGUUGGACCUUGCAAAGGGAAUUAAAACCAAUAGUAAAAGGUUCUAUAGCCAUAUAAAUAAGAAGAAAACAAAGAAAGAAGAAGUGGGACCGCUACACACUGAGGAUGGAAUGGAGGUUAAGGAUAACCUAGGCAUGGCCCAAUAUCUAAAUAAGUACUUUGCCUCAGUCUUUAAUAAGGCUAAUGAGGAGCU
rnacentral:lncRNA from 1 species